GCGGCCUAUCAGCUUGUUGGUGGGGUGAUGGCCUACCAAGGCAACGACGGGUAGCUGGUCUGAGAGGAUGGCCAGCCACAUUGGGACUGAGAUACGGCCCAGACUCCUACGGGAGGCAGCAGUGGGGAAUCUUGCGCAAUGGCCUAACGGCUGACGCAGCGACGCCGCGUGUGGGAUGAAGCUCUUCGGAGUGUAAACCACUGUUGCCCGGGACGAAUAGCUCGAUUAAUCGAGCCUGACGGUACCGGGUGAGGAAGCACCGGCUAACUCCGUGCCAGCAGCCGCGGUAAUACGGGGGGUGCGAGCGUUGUCCGGAAUCGCUGGGCGUAAAGGGCGCGUAGGUGGUUUGAUAAGGGUGUGGUGAAAGUCCGGGGCUCAACCCCGGAUCUGCCGUGCCGACUGUCAAACUCGAGGGCUGUAGAGGCAGACGGAAUUCCGGGUGUAGCGGUGGAAUGCGUAGAGAUCCGGAGGAAGACCGGUGGCGAAGGCGGUCUGCUGGGCAGUUUCUGACACUGAUGCGCGACAGCGUGGGGAGCAAACAGGAUUAGAUACCCUGGUAGUCCACGCCGUAAACGAUGGGUACUAGGUGCCUGGGGGAGCGACCCUCUGGGUGCCGGCGCUAACGCAGGAAGUACCCCGCCUGGGGAGUACGG
rnacentral:rRNA from 1 species